GACGAACGCUGGCGGCGUGCUUAACACAUGCAAGUCGAACGGAAAGGCCCUGCUUUUGUGGGGUGCUCGAGUGGCGAACGGGUGAGUAACACGUGAGUAACCUGCCCUUGACUUUGGGAUAACUUCAGGAAACUGAGGCUAAUACCGGAUAGGAGCUCCUGCUGCAUGGUGGGGGUUGGAAAGUUUCGGCGGUUGGGGAUGGACUCGCGGCUUAUCGGCUUGUUUGUUGGGUAGUGGCUUACCAAGGCUUUGACGGGUAGCCGGCCUGGGAGGGUGACCGGCCACGUUGGACUGGGACUGCGGCCCAGACUACAACGGUAGGCAACGGUGCAGAGUAUUACACUAUGGGAGGAGCGCAGGUGUAACAACGCCGCGCGCGGUGUGACGUCAUGGGGGUUGGAAUCCGCAUUCGCCUUUGACGAGGCGUGAGUGACGGUACCGGGUAAAUAAGCUCCGGCUAACUACGUG
rnacentral:rRNA from 1 species